rnacentral:rRNA from 1 species
UCUGAAUCUGCGUACGGCUCCGCAAACCAGUUGUAAACUAUAGCAAGCAUGCUCGGGAUUUGGCCCUCACGGGUUGGGUUUCGGGUGAUAAGGAUAACCCUGGUAAUUCUGAGGCUAAUACUAGAACGCAAAAACUUGACUGACCGGUUUUACUGGGAGGUUGGGGGGCGUGCAAGUGGGUUUCGCAUAGGAUAACCGGGAAGGGGUGCACGUUUGGACCGCGAUAAAGACAGACUGGUUUCGGCCGGCCUGAGCGGCACUUGCGUUGUGCUUCUGACCUAUCAACUAGAUGGCAGCGUAACGGACAUGCUAUGGC